UGGUAGAGGUAAAUUUACUAGCGCUAGCAGA
rnacentral:piRNA from 1 species